AUUUUAAUGAAGAGUGCUUUCUUGUAGACAUUGAUGCAGUACAUAGGGCUGGUAAGGAAGUAGUAACAGUGCGGAGGGGGUAAGUAUGUCAGUCUGGCAUGUUUUCUUCUAAAUUAAUAUUCAAAAAGGUGCCAUUCAAGGAACACUUUUGGUCAUACCUUGCAACCAGUACUGAGACAUGACAUAAAGUUAAAACUCCAGGUGCCUUUUUGAGAUAAGUGUGAAUCCACAUUCACAACCUGGGUUGAGAAAGGUCACACUUCUCUACUUACUAAAAUGGAGUCCUUCAAUCUUAAGUCAGCCCAGCAAUUCAGUUGUAUUGACCUGAUGGAGGCCAUCCGAGGUUUCACUGCCAUUAGGAGCAGGGCUUGUUUUAUGCGCUCCGUGCAUGCUGAUGGUGCAGGGAGUGGUGGAAGAUGUGCCACCUCAAAUCUGGAUAAUUCCUUUAAUCCCUUCCUUCAAUACAACCUGCUCUUAAAACUGAACACUGAUUUUCAUUCUUUUCAUGAUUAGUGUUUCCCCACCCUUAUCUUUGCAUUCACUCCCUCUCAUAAAGGAUGCAUUUUCAGAGUCCAGAUGGAUUAGGAUAACUGCUUACAAAUUCCAUGGCAAUAGUUAAGUUCUGAGGAAAAGCAGGCUUUGUGAUAAGACCACUGGAUGUCUUUCAAUUUUCAAAAGUCAGAUUUCAUUCCACAGCUUGUCAUACAGUUUACAGAAUUAUGAGAAUCCUCCCUGGAUUCACAGUGUCUUUCUUAAUAGAGUCAUACAUUAAUGAAUGUUACCCAUUAUUUAAUAUUUAAAUUUCAAAUUCUAGUUUCUACUUUACAAGGAAAAGGACACGAAGACAAAACUGAUUGACCCAUGGUCAGUCAGGAGAAAAUGUGUCUUAGCUCCUAAUUUAGUGACCUAUAUGCUAAAUUACACCUUUUCAUCCCUCUGAGAACAUAAUUCUGGAAGCUUGUAUAAACAAAAUAGGCCCCAAAUUACAUUCUCACCACAGAAAUUAGAUAAUUUAUCAAGUGCAAAAAGAACACGAGAAUAUUCUGCACAAUUUAUCAAGGACCUUCAAAUAAAUCCAUUACAAAAAAUACCCCUUCAGGCAAAAUAAAUAAGACUGAAAUUCAGCAUAACAAAUUUGCAAAGUUUAAAAUUAGCUUAACGUGAGGGCUGCAAUUCCAGUUACAAAGCAAAUGUCCCAAGUUCCCCCAAAGAACUUAAGACAAAUUGAUUAAAGUUGUUCAGUUAUUUUAGAAUAUUUUGUUUAGAGAAACCAAACUUGAAGUCUCAUUAAAAGUAACAUCUAUCAAGUGAUAAAGCAAAUGUAACAUAAUAUUACUGCAGAUUCUAGGUCGUAGAUGUUCACUAUACAAGUCUUUCAACAUUUCUGCAUGUUUGGGAAAUUUCAUCAAGUGCUGAAGAAAAAAAGCAAAAAAAGUAACAUCUGCGCCUUACCAUCUAAAAUUUACAUGACAAGGUACCAGAAAUUGGUCAGCUUCAACUGCUGCUUUCAAUAAAUGUUCAUUAUUACAGAUCGUCCAGUAUCUCUGUAUUAUUCCAUCAUUAGAAUAAAAAACACCUGCCUUCAUUCUGUUUCACUUUUUUCUACUAUUUAUCCCCAAAAUAAAAGUUAAAUCAUAUUGUAGUAUACCAAUAAACAGUCUUUGCUGCCAAUAGAUAGUAAUAAACUACCAAACUUCAAAUCAACAUUCAGACUU
rnacentral:lncRNA from 1 species